GGGGAAUAUUGGACAAUGGGCGAAAGCCUGAUCCAGCAAUGCCGCGUGUGUGAAGAAGGUCUUCGGAUUGUAAAGCACUUUCGACGGGGACGAUGAUGACGGUACCCGUAGAAGAAGCCCCGGCUAACUUCGUGCCAGCAGCCGCGGUAAUACGAAGGGGGCUAGCGUUGCUCGGAAUGACUGGGCGUAAAGGGCGCGUAGGCGGAUGGUACAGUCAGAUGUGAAAUUCCUGGGCUUAACCUGGGGACUGCAUUUGAUACGUAUGAUCUAGAGUGAGGAAGAGGGUCGUGGAAUUCCCAGUGUAGAGGUGAAAUUCGUAGAUAUUGGGAAGAACACCGGUGGCGAAGGCGGCGACCUGGUCCUUGACUGACGCUGAGGCGCGAAAGCGUGGGGAGCAAAC
rnacentral:rRNA from 1 species